rnacentral:SRP_RNA from 1 species
GCUGGGUGUGGUGGUGCGUGCCUGUAAUCCCAGCUACUCAGGAGGCUGAGGCAGGAGAAUCGCUUGAACCCAGGAGACAGAGGUUACAGUGAGCUGAGAUCGCGGCCACUGCAACUCCAGCCUGGGCGACAGAGAGACACUCUGCCUCCA